UACAGAGGGUGCAAGCGUUAAUCGGAAUUACUGGGCGUAAAGCGCAUGUAGGUGGGUAUUUAAGUCGAAUGUGAAAGCCCCGGGCUCAACCUGGGAAUUGCAUCCGAUACUGAAUAUCUAGAGUAUGAUAGAGGGAAGUGGAAUUUCCGGUGUAGCGGUGAAAUGCGUAGAUAUCGGAAGGAACAUCAGUGGCGAAGGCGGCUUCCUGGAUCAAUACUGACACUAAAGUGCGAAAGCGUGGGGAGCAAACAGG
rnacentral:rRNA from 1 species